rnacentral:rRNA from 1 species
GACGAACGCUGGCGGCGUGCUUAACACAUGCAAGUCGAACGGAAAGUCCCUGCUUUUGUGGGGUGCUCGAGUUGCGAACUGGUGAGUAACACGUGAGUAACCUGCCCUUGACUUUGGGAUAACUUCAUGAAACUUGGGCUAAUACCGGAUAGGAGCUCCUGCUUCAUGGUGGGGGUUGGAAAGUUUCGGCGGUUGGGGAUGGACUCGCGGCUUAUCAGCUUGUUGGUGGGGUAGUGUCUUACCAAGGCUUUGACGGGUAGCCGGCCUGAGAGGGUGACCGGACAAGUUGGGACUGAGAUGCGGCCCAGACUCCUACGGGAGGCAGCAGAGGGGAAUUUUGCACAAUGGGCUGAAGCAUGAUGUAGCACCGCAGCGUGCGGGAUGACGGCAUUCGGGUUGUAAUCCGCUUUCGCCUGUGACGAAGCGUGAGUGACGGUAAUGGGUAAAGAAGCACCGGCUAACUACGUG